CAGCUGAAAUGAUGACAUGCUCGGAUAAUUCUCAAUUAAAUGGAUCGGAUUUUUCUUUGUCCUCGUACAACCUACAUAGGUAAAAUGUUUUUACAUGCUGUUUCAAGUGAGACCCUAAAAUUAAUUCAAACGGUAUUUGAUUAGAAGGAAUGUCAGCAUUGUCAAUCGUUUGACCAACGUGAGCAUUUUUGGUGGAACUGUGGUAUGGUGUGGGAUAAAGAUAACUGGGACAUUCUUGGGAUUCCGCAAGAGAGUUGUCGAAAGAAUCGAGAUCCUUCACAACGUUCAGUUGACCAGGUGGUGUCUCUGGUGUUGGAUUCGGGUUAGCCAAUAUGAUUUUUUGAAUUCGUUCAAUUCCUCUCCUCACCAACUACUGAAGCCAGGGACGUGAUCCAUCCUUGCAAUGGCCAUCGGAGCCAUUCUUCCACUCACUUUAGCUCUCAUUUUGGUGAAUCAAUGGACGGAAGGCUUUCAUUUUACCCCUGCUCAAGCCAACCUUGCCAAAUUGGGGUCUUGGAGUCGAAGGAA